ACAUACGACCAUAGGGUGUGGAAAACAGGGCUUCCCGUCCGCUCAACCGUACUUAAGCCACACGCCGGGAGGUUAGUAGUUGGGUGGGUGACCACCAGCGAAUCCCUUCUGUUGUAUGUU
rnacentral:rRNA from 1 species